GCCAGGCGUGGUGGUGAGUGCCUGUAGUCCCAGCUACUAGGGAGGCUGAGGUAGAAGGAUUGCUUGAGGCCAGGAGGUGGAGGUUGCAGUGAGCCCAGAUUGUGCCACUGCACUCCAGCCUGGGCAACAGAGCAAGAUUCUAUCUUAA
ensembl:misc_RNA Metazoa_SRP Metazoan signal recognition particle RNA